rnacentral:misc_RNA from 1 species
UUAAGUUCAGCGGGUAGUCCUACCUGAUUUGAGGUCAGACGACAUGAAAGGCUUGUCCAAAGACGACUGUAAGCGACCCCCCCGGCCAGCAACGAACGGCGCACUAAGCGUUAUGUUAUCACACCGUCGCUUGGACCUGACCAUAGGGACCAGCUAAUGCAUUUAAAGACGAGCGGGCCAACGAGGCCCGCACACGUCCA